rnacentral:rRNA from 1 species
ACUUCGUUCUCUCCCGAGUGGAUCCUGAGUACGGCGGGACACGAGGAAUCCCGCCGGAAUCCGGGAGGACCAUCUCCCAAGGCUAAAUACUCCCUAGUGACCGAUAGUGAACCAGUACCGUGAGGGAAAGGUGAAAAGCACCCCGGGAGGGGAGUGAAAGAGAUCCUGAAACCGUGUGCCUACAAGUAGUCAGAGCCCGUUAACGGGUGAUGGCGUGCCUUUUGUAGAAUGAACCGGCGAGUUACGGUCUCAUGCAAGGUUAAGCUGAAGAAGCGGAGCCGCAGCGAAAGCGAGUCUGAACAGGGCGAAAGAGUAUGAGGCCGCAGACCCGAAACCAGGUGAUCUACCCAUGUCCAGGGUGAAGGCAAGGUAACACUUGCUGGAGGCCCGAACCCACGCACGUUGAAAAGUGCGGGGAUGAGGUGUGGGUAGCGGAGAAAUUCCAAUCGAACUUGGAGAUAGCUGGUUCUCUCCGAAAUAGCUUUAGGGCUAGCCUCAAGCGAAGAGUUUUGGAGGUAGAGCACUGUUUGGACGAGGGGCCCUCAUCGGGUUACCGAAUUCAGACAAACUCCGAAUGCCAAAAACUUAUGCUUGGGAGUCAGACUGUGAGUGAUAAGAUCCAUGGUCGAAAGGGAAACAGCCCAGACCGCCAGCUAAGGUCCCAAAGUAUACGUUAAGUGGAAAAGGAUGUGGCGUUGCUUAGACAACCAGGAUGUUGGCUUAGAAGCAGCCAUCAUU